GGACGGGUGAGUAACACGUGGAUAACCUACCUAUAAGACUGGGAUAACUUCGGGAAACCGGAGCUAAUACCGGAUAAUAUAUUGAACCGCAUGGUUCAAUAGUGAAAGACGGUUUUGCUGUCACUUAUAGAUGGAUCCGCGCCGCAUUAGCUAGUUGGUAAGGUAACGGCUUACCAAGGCAACGAUGCGUAGCCGACCUGAGAGGGUGAUCGGCCACACUGGAACUGAGACACGGCCCAG
rnacentral:rRNA from 1 species